rnacentral:rRNA from 1 species
UAGGGAAUCUUCGGCAAUGGACGAAAGUCUGACCGAGCAACGCCGCGUGAGUGAAGAAGGUUUUCGGAUCGUAAAACUCUGUUGUUAGAGAAGAACAAGGACGUUAGUAACUGAACGUCCCCUGACGGUAUCUAACCAGAAAGCCACGGCUAACUACGUGCCAGCAGCCGCGGUAAUACGUAGGUGGCAAGCGUUGUCCGGAUUUAUUGGGCGUAAAGCGAGCGCAGGCGGUUUCUUAAGUCUGAUGUGAAAGCCCCCGGCUCAACCGGGGAGGGUCAUUGGAAACUGGGAGGCUUGAGUGCAGAAGAGGAGAGUGGAAGUCCAUGUGUAGCGGUGAAAUGCGUAGAUAUAUGGAGGAACACCAGUGGCGAAGGCGGCUCUCUGGUCUGUAACAGACGCUGAGGCUCGAAAGCGUGGGGAGCAAACAGG